rnacentral:rRNA from 1 species
GAUGAACGCUGGCGGCGUGCCUAAUACAUGCAAGUCGAGCGAACAGACGAGGAGCUUGCUCCUCUGACGUUAGCGGCGGACGGGUGAGUAACACGUGGAUAACCUACCUAUAAGACUGGGAUAACUUCGGGAAACCGGAGCUAAUACCGGAUAAUAUAUUGAACCGCAUGGUUCAAUAGUGAAAGACGGUUUUGCUGUCACUUAUAGAUGGAUCCCCGCCGCAUUAGCUAGUUGGUAAGGUAACGGCUUACCAAGGCAACGAUGCGUAGCCGACCUGAGAGGGUGAUCGGCCCCACUGGAACUGAGACACGGUCCAGACUCCUACGGGAGGCAGCAGUAGGGAAUCUUCCGCAAUGGGCGAAAGCCUGACGGAGCAACGCCGCGUGAGUGAUGAAGGUCUUCGGAUCGUAAAACUCUGUUAUUAGGGAAGAACAAAUGUGUAAGUAACUAUGCACGUCUUGACGGUACCUAAUCAGAAAGCCACGGCUAACUACGUG